UACGUAGGGUGCGAGCGUUGUCCGGAAUUAUUGGGCGUAAAGAGCUCGUAGGCGGUCUGUCGCGUCGAUCGUGAAAACUUGGGGCUUAACCCUGAGCUUGCGGUCGAUACGUGCAUGACUGGAGUUCGGCAGGGGAGACUGGAAUUCCUGGUGUAGCGGUGAAAUGCGCAGAUAUCAGGAGGAACACCGGUGGCGAAGGCGGGUCUCUGGGACGUUACUGACGCUGAGACGCGAAAGCGUGGGGAGCAAACAGG
rnacentral:rRNA from 1 species